rnacentral:misc_RNA from 1 species
AGACGCACUCGUGUUACUCCGCUGAGAAGUGAGGGACGGGCUACGGUUGUAGUGGCCACUAAAACGCUAAGGGAUCGCUGCGCGUGUGGUGCACGGAGCCACACAAAGACCAGGCCUCGCGCACCUCAUCUUCUUUACCGUUCAUUGGUGUUUUUUUUUGGUCAUCCAUGCUGAGGCCGUCGCCCCUGGCGGACUCUGUUGUCCGCGCUUCCGCGUGGGAUGACGGCGGGGCGGAGUUCAUCUUUGCCGACGGCACCAUUAUGUCUUUUGUGGACAAUAUGAACACGUUCGUAGCGGUGCGCAGCAACCCUAGUCCUCGCGACACGCAGCGGGCAGUGAGUCACGCGGCCCGCCGGCGACAGCAGGAGGAGAGGCGGCAGCGGCUGUCGCCGACAACCGCUGCCGCAGAAGUUGAAUAUGUCGACUCGAUCGACGGCCCCGACGAUGAUGACGAUAACCGCGAACUGUGCUUUACAGCCUGGACGCUCAGCAGGGACGUGGGUAAGGUGCGGGCGGCUCUCCAAAUCUUCAACAGCCUCAGCGAACAGCCGCGGCUGCUGGCGUCGCUGCUGCCUUCAGAAAUCCCUGCACCUCUUCUCUCGCCUUCCUUGUUGCCAGCUAGCGCUUCUUCGGUGACACCGGCGUAUUCGAUGGUGGGAUCUUGUGGCGUGUGGCAAGAGUCGGGGCCUCCGAUCGACACCCUGUUGCUGGAGCGGCGCGCUGACCUGUUCCGGCGACACGUCGUGUUUGGCACCGUUCGCGAGUGGAUGCCCGUUUCUUCAGCCGCUACGCAGCGGCAGCCAGUGGUUCCAAGCGCGGCGCGGAACUCUCUACCGGGGGCAGAGUCAUGUCUCAUAGAUGCCACGGCCGCGGCUCCGACUACUCUGGAGCGUGCGGCAGAGUUGAGAGUGGCAGAGAGCCCACCUGCGCACACAGGGUAUGGCGAUGAUUCGAGUGUCGCGCUCCCCAAGGAAGUGCCCGUUGGCACGGUACUCGAGCUAUGGUGUGCUCUGCGCCGUGUUUGUAUGACGGUUGCGGUGCACCGCGAAACCUUCACAGUGCGGUGGCCAGCUCCGGUGACUCGCAGCGAUGGAUCGCGACUACCGCAGUCGUUUCACGCGCGAGACACUGCGGCAUUGCAUCUGUCACCAGGUUCGCCCAGCUGGUCCUCCUCCGUCUCUCCCCCGGGCUCUGCAUCGGCGCCACUGCUGUUCACAUGCAUAGAGCAGACGUUCCCAGUGCGUGAUCCACCAGACGCGUGGCGGACGAUGCUGCUGCUGGCGCUAGAGCUGGACGCAGAGCUUCCUGGAGCGGAGAAGGAAAGCAGCGCCCCCAGUGCGGCGCCAGCGUCACCGUCUCACACCAGCGUCGGCGCACUAGGCACAGAGCCCGGCGACAAUGUCAGCCGUUCUGCUUCCUGGCAUGGCUGCUUGCCUGAGCCGCACCGCUGGAGUGGUGCGCUGAACCAGCACCGUAACACCAACCCGUGUCGUUUCUCUCGACUGACUGCAUUGCAGGCGGCGCACCUCGCUGCACCGCGGACGGCACGCGCCGUGGACGCGAUGCGUGCGCUUCACCCACGUGGAACGCGACUUUGUUGGAUGUACGAGGCGAACCACUGCGGCGCGAGUCGGGGGAGCCCGUCUGCCGUGUACUGGUGUCUGCGGGAGUCCGCUGAAGCGACACCCAUCAAGGGAAACCUCGGCGGCACCUCGACGGCGGCGCCGCUUCGGGCUACCGAAGUUGUGGUGUGGGUGGCCGAAGAUGGCAGUGUUGUGCGAACCACGCUCGAGGGACAGGGCUACACCGUUAGACAUCAUCGUCUUCACUUGUCAUUGUCUGGUGCGAUGGCACCAGCGCCGGCUGUUUACCGACUUCAGGCGCACGACAUUGCGGCAGCGAUGGCGCCAGUAGACAAGCGCCUGCCAUCGACUAUCGCGCCACUGCGCUGCCACGUUCCCGUGCUGCCCCAGUCAGCGUCAGCAGCCGCAGCAGCCUCUCCGGAGGUGCUUGCAGUCGCCAUCAUUGACCCUCAAAGCCUCUACUGCUUGCCAGCGUCCUUGACGGACGGCCUACAACGAGGCUGCACCGCGGCCACCGUCACUCCUGCGUGUGCGUGCUCUGCCUUGGCGGCGCUCACCGCGAUGUUGGUGUCAAGCGAGCAGCGUUUCCCUGGAUACAUGGACUCGCACUGCAGCGCAACAGCAGGAGCGCUGUCGCUUGCGUCGCUGGGCAGGGGUGUCACGUGUAAGAGAGUAGCGCCUUUGGAAGCCAACGACGCGGUGCGCCGCCUGCGCUUCGGCCGCUACAUCGCCUCUGUGGUGGACGUCGCCAUUCAAUUGUCCCAGGUGAACUGCUCCGCCCAGCGUGCGGCUGACGCCGCCAGGCCAUCGACAGGCCAGCCACGACGCGCUGCGUACUGUUGCGCCAGACCGGCAGCGACUUCGCCGUCGUGCUGGUCGCUUAGUGCGCACGGCUUGUCAUGCCGCAAGGGAGCCCACUCAGCCGCGGCGACGACCACCUCCCGUAGCGCUUCCGCUGCCUCUGUUGUCUACUUGACAAGUCGGCUGGACGGCAUCGGCACCUUCACAGCACUCACCAACGGCACCAUUCGGGCCCACUUUGACGAUCGCACCCUCCUUACACUCGUCCCCGGCGUGAACGAGAUGGACGAAGAGGAGCUGCUGGCGACGUGUGUACUGCGCAACGCCACACGGUGUACAAUGCGCGCGGCGCAGUGCCACCCUGGGCACGCGAUGCACCGCUACUUGGCCUACGCGCUCCCGUUUCGUCGAUAUGUGUACUGGCGGGCUUUAAACCCGCGUGAACCGGCUGUCAUGGACGGUGGAUGUGCUGGGGUCUCGGCCAGCGAAAGACAUGCGACAGCGCUGCAGGAGCAACCGCAGCAGCAUCAGAAGCAAAGCCCCAGCGCAGCGGAGGUGGAUAGACUCGAACACACCACAGCCCGCGACGACGCUUCUGCGUCACUGGCUGGCAUCUCCGCAAUGGAGGCAGGUGUGUCUCUGAUGGAACCCCCGCUUGCGGAUGAGUCUGCAUGUCUUCUGCCGAGCUUGCGGUCGUGUUCCUUGGCCACAUCCUUCGGUGCGUCGGGCGACGACGACGAGCGCGUUGCAACCGUGUUGAGCAACGCCGUUUGGGCUCCAGAUGUGAAGUAUGAGCCACCACACUAUCCGCUGCCUAGUGGCCCGACGUGCUCUCCGCCAGUCUGCCUCUUCACCUCCGAUGCCGUGAUGUCUCAAGGCACCUUGAGCGACACUUUCCCAGCAUGGGGACUGGUAGACACACAGCGAACGAUGCAAACAUACUACGACGCCGAAGUAGCCGAGGGUGCGGCGCAGCAGGCCCGACUGCAGGAGCUCCUUGAUCAAAACGAGGCCCUUUCGAAAGCCACCCGAGCUCUUCUGCGCGACUAGAUGGGGAGUGGUGAAGGAGGGUGAAGGAGAAAGAUUGCAGUGGAGAGGCCGUGGCUAUGAAGCACGCGAGUUUUGUGUUUGCGCAUGUGCGCGUGCUUACGCUUUUUUUAUUGUCACUAGAUGCGACUGAACUUCAUAGAUUCCGCAGAGGAGGAGGGAGAGGGAGGAGAGGCACGCACAGACACAGACACAAGCCCCUGUGCCCAUUCUCUUCCCAUGUGUGUCACUGACCGGCACGAGGUCUUCGCUCUCUGUAUGCUCUUUGCUCAGAGAAGACACCACCUAAGGAAAUCACUGGCUUGCGCCGGUUUACAAGUGCGGCAGCGUCUGGAGCGUGGAAUCGAUGUGCCUGGGCGGCAUGCGUUGUUUCCGUUGCGCCUCCUGUGCUCACCACUGUGCAAAUGGAGAGGAGAGACGUGUGUGUGUGUGUGUGUGGGGGGGGGUCCAUGUCCCCUGGCGUGCAAACU